rnacentral:piRNA from 1 species
UCCUUGUGCCUGCACCCCAACUUGCUAGU